rnacentral:sRNA from 1 species
UGCUACAAUUACAUUGUAUUUUGGUUAGGUAAUUUUGGUAAGAUCGUUUCAUAAAGAAAUAUCCCCAAUUUGCACCGGAUCAAGUAUUAAAAUAUUUAGUGCAAAAAGCACUCAGGAGGAUUUUCUAUUAUGGAACAUGGUACAGUUAAAUGGUUUAACGCAGACAAAGGUUUUGGUUUUAUUACUCGCGAAAACGGUAGCGAUGUAUUCGUACAUUUCUCAGCUAUCCAAGGCGACGGAUUCAAGACUCUUGAAGAAGGCCAAGCAGUUACUUUCGAUGUAGAAGAAAGCGACCGUGGACCACAAGCUGUUAACGUUGUUAAAGACUAAUUUUAAAAAUUAGAGUUUAAAAGUCAGAGAUUUUCGUCUCUGGCUUUUUU